rnacentral:rRNA from 1 species
CCUACGGGCGGCAGCAGUGGGGAAUAUUGCACAAUGGGGGGAACCCUGAUGCAGCGACGCCGCGUGGGUGAAGGAGCACCUCGGUGCGUAAAGCCCUAUCGGCAGGGAAGAAAGGCGGGCGGGGCCCGUCUGGACGGUACCUGACUAAGAAGCCCCGGCUAACUACGUGCCAGCAGCCGCGGUAAUACGUAGGGGGCAAGCGUUAUCCGGAUUUACUGGGUGGAAAGGGAGCGGAGACGGCAGGGCAAGUCUGGAGUGAAAGGCGGGGGCUCAACCCCCGGACUGCUCUGGAAACUGCCAGGCUGGAGUGCAGGAGAGGUAAGUGGAAUGCCUAGUGUAGCGGUGAAAUGCGUAGAUAUUAGGAGGAACACCAGUGGCGAAGGCGGCUUACUGGACUGUAACUGACGUUGAGGCUCGAAAGCGUGGGGAGCAAACAGGAUUAGAUACCCUUGUAGUC